GGUGCCAGAAGCUCGUUUUCCUGCAUCUAUCGUCACUUUUGUGGAAAGCUACAAGCGUUUUCUGGAGGGCGGGUGCCCCAGCGCCAAACGCCGGGAGAACGUGGGGUCUGCUGUGAAUCGGGUCAGUUGUUUUCUCCAGCGUAUGGCGUCUGGUUGUAAUCAGCUGGGCACCUGGCUCUUCCUGGAUGACGUUGGGCGUAUUCAAAGUUGUGCGCACGAGCUGAUGUCGCAGGGGAGAACCGUCACCACUGCCUGCACUCAUCUCAAGAACGUGUACCAGUUCCUCGAGUAUUUUACAGAAACUCCUCCA